UACGAACUGCGCAAACGUUAUUCGGAAUCACUGGGCUUACAGGGUGCGUAGGCGGUUUUUCAGGUCCGAUGUGAAAUCCCCCGGCUCAACCGGGGAAUGGCAUUGGAAACCGGGAGACUGGAGUGAGCUAGAGGUGCACGGAACUUCCGGUGGAGCGGUGAAAUGUGUUGAGAUCGGAAGGAACACCAGAGGCGAAGGCGGUGCACUGGGGCUUGUCUGACGCUGAGGCACGAAAGCCAGGGGAGCGAACGGG
rnacentral:rRNA from 1 species